GGGUGAGGCUCAAGGUAAGAUUUUAGGUGAAACAAAAUAGCUCUUCAACUUAAUGUGUGACUAAGUGAAACCAAGCAAGUUACACACCGUAAGACAAUGACAGGGGUAUCAGCAUCGAUUUCACAGAUUUUCAGAAUGGCCCUGUGGCAGCUUCCAGCUGAGACAUUGCAGCUCUACACUGUACCUGAAGUUCUCCCCAGUGCCCCACAGCUUCAAGUGGCCACACCCUUGGUGAAGACACCAGUGCACCUCAAGGCAGGGAAGGGUCAUUUGAAGUAGGAAGACCUGCCCUAAAAGAAGGGAGCAUCUUCCAGUGGCAGCCCAGAGAAAAGGAGGUUGGAGAAAAAAGAUUUGCAUUUUGCCUGCUUGCCUUGUGUCUCACCAUCAAGUUCAUCUGCCCUGCUGCCACUGCUGCUGCUGCACCAUAACUUCACUGGCAUUAGAACCUAGCUUCUUGAGGCUCCCGACAUGGAACACCAGUUGUUCUCCAGAAGGUCCAAGAAUUCAAUGGUUGUUCAGUCCAAAGCUGGAUGUCUUGGCUGGUCUUCAGUAUACUGCAGAGUCCCAAAGAAGUAGGCUUUAAUGCCAGAGAAGGAAUGGACUUGCCAAUGAGAGUAAGGGCAAGAAGACAAAGGACAAGAGCCUCCUUCUUCCAUGUUCUUUCUAUAGGCUGCCAAAAGAAGGUGUGGCCCAGAUUUAAGGUGGGUCUUCAAAUGAACUAAUCAAGAAAAAUCUCUCACAAGAGUGCGCAGAUGCUUGGGUUUUAGUUCAUUCCAGAUGGAGUCCAGUUGGCAACCAAGAAUAGCCAUCACAGAGGUUAAACCAUCAUCUACCUUGAAGCAAC
rnacentral:lncRNA from 1 species